rnacentral:lncRNA from 1 species
AACUUACAAGAUUGUAAUAAGAAUCCAAAUGCAUGAUCUACAUAAAGGACUUAGUGUUAAACACUGAACUAGGAGAAAGUGUUCAACAAAUGGCAUUAUGGAAAUAGAAGAACAGAAUAGAAGAUCUGCAUUUUAAAAAAUAUAUAGAUAUGUUCUUUAAUAUACGCAUGUUAAUUAAUUUUAUUCCAAACCCCUUGGCAGUUCUUGUUGUACAGGUUAGUACAAUGUUGAAUAUAAGUGGUAAGAAUUCGGGGUAAAAUGUUCAGUCUUUUACCAUUAAAUAUACUGUUAGCUGCAAAUUUUUGUAGAUGCCCUUGGUCAGAUUGAUAAGCUUUCUUUUCAUUUUAGUUUUCUGAGAUUUUAAACAAUCAUAAAUAGGUAUUGAAUUAUGUCCAGCGAUUUUUUUGGAUCUAGUAAAAUGACCAUAUAAUUUUUGUUUUGUUCUGUUAAUGUGGUGAAUUACAUUGUUUAACUUUACAACAUGAGACCAAUCCUGGGAUAAAAAAUCCUUAGUCUUGAUGUGUUAAACUUUUUACAUAUUUCUUGAUUUGAUUUGCUAAUAUUUUAUGAUUCAGGGAUUAUUUAUAAAUGUGCCACUUGAUUGCUAAACAUUUGGAACUUCUUGUUUUUUUCUUUAGUUUUUUCAGUUUUUUAUUCUGUAUUUAGAAGCUCUAUUAUUAAUCUGUAUGCACAUAAUAAAUUUUGCAUUUAAAAAAAUAAGUGGCCAAAUAGUAAACAAUUUAGGUUUUGGGUGUCAUACUGUCUCUGUCACAACCCACAUCUGUCUUUGUAGCUCUAAAGUAGACAAAAACAAUAUGUAAUCAAAUAAGGAUGGCUGCAUUCAUAAAACUUCAUUUAAAACAGAAACAGGUACAACAAUUAACUCAAGAUGGAUUAAAGACAGAAAUGUAAAACCUAGAACCAUAAAAACCCUAGAAGAAAACUUAGGCAAUACCGUUUAGGACAUAGGCAUGGGCAAAGACUUCAUGACUAAUUCACCAAAAGCAAUGGCAACAAAAGCCAAAAUUGACAAAUGGGAUCUAAUUAAACUAAAGCGCUUCUGCACGGCAAAAGACACUAGCAUCAGAGUGAACAGGCAAACUACAGAAUGGGAGAAAAUUUUUGCAAUCUACCCUUCUGACAAAGGCCUAAUAUCCAGAAUCUACAAGGAACUUAAACAAAUUUACAAGAAAAAAAUACACAACCCCAUCAAAAAAGUGGGCAAAGGAUAUGAACAGACACUUCUCAAAAGAAGACAUUUAUGUGGCCAACAAACAUAUGAAAAAAAGCUCAUCAUAACUGGUCAUUAGAAAAAUGCAAAUUAAACCACAGUGAGAUACCAUCUCAUGCCAGUUAGAAUGGCAAUCAAUUGAAAAGUCUGGAAACAACAGAUGCUGGAGAGGAUGUGGAGAACUAGGAACACUUUUACACUGUUGGUGGGAGUGUAAAUUACUUCAGCCAUUGUGGAAGACAGUGUGGUGAUUCCUCAAGGAUCCAGAACUAGAAAUACCAUUCGAUCCAGGAGUCCCAUUACUGGGUAUAUACCCAGGGAUUAUAAAUCAUUCUACUAUAAAGACACAUGCAUACAUAUGUUUAUUGCAGCACUAUUUACAAUAGCAAAGACUUGGAACCCACCCAAAUGCCCAUCAAUGAUAGACUGGAUAAAGAAAAUGUGGCACGUAUACACCAUGGAAUACUAUACAGCCAUAAAAAAGAAUGCGUUCAUAUCCUUUGCAGGGACAUGGAUGAAACUAGAAACCAUCAUUCUCAGCAAACUAACACAGGAACACAAAACCAAACACCGCAUGUUCUCCUCAUAAGUGAGAGUUGAACAAUGAGAACACAUGGACACAGGAAGGGGAACAUCACACACCAGGGCCUGUCAGGGUGUGGGGGGAAAGGGGAGGGAGAGCAUUAAGACAAACACCUAAUGCAUGUGGGACUUAAAACCUAGAUGACAGGUUGAUGAGUGCAGCAAACCACCAUGGCACAUGUAUACCUAUGUAAGAAACCUGCACGUUCUGCACAUGUAUCCCAGAACUUAAAGUAAAAUAUAAAAAAUGAAAGAAACAGGUAGCAGGCCAGAUUUGGUUCACAGACUGUUAUUUGCUCAUUCGUGAAACAGAAUUGAUAUGUCUUUUAAUGAAUAAACUUUUUGUCAUUAUGUAAUGGUGAUGUCUCUGGUGGUACUCUUUUCUUGACAUCUACAUUGCCUUAUUAAUAUAAAUACUUCUUUCUCAUUCUUACUAUUUUCAUAUUUUUUCUUUUAAUAUAUUUAUGUAUUUACAUUUAAUGCAUUUCUUUCUAAAUAGCAUACAGUUGGGCAUUGCUUUUUUUCCACUCUAAUACUCUCUGUUUUUUAAUUGGAGUAUCUAGUUCAUUGCCUUUUAUGUGAUUAUCAGUAUGGUUGGGUUUAAAACAAUCAUUUUGCUUCUUGUUUCCUAUUUGUUCUAUCUUUUCUUGAGACUCCACUAUUUCCUUCUACCUUCUUUUUGACUAGUCAAUUUUUUUAUAUUUCAUUUUACCUCCUCUUUUAAAUUUUUAUCUGUAACUCUUUUAUUUUUAGUGAUUUCUUUAGUUAUUUUAAUAUGUAUCCUUAACUUAUCACAGUCUAUUUUAAAUUAAUAUUACAGCACUUCCUUAUAAGGUAAGAAUCUUCCAAACUAUACUAUGAUUUAUACACUUGUACUUUGUGCUAUUAUUGUCAUCCAUUUGACUUUUACAGAUAAUUUAAACCACACGAUAUAUUGUUAUUACUUGUGAUUUAAACAAUCUGUGUUUGUGUCUGAAAUGUCACUAUCUGGAUGAUCUGAGCAUCUGUUAUAUUGUCUGUUGUUUUUCUUGGUUUCCAUCCCGUAGUUUUGUCUCCCUGUGUGCCUGAUCUUUUAAAUUUCAUGCCAGUUGUUGGUAUUUGAAAAAUUAUAGAGGUAAUUUGAAGUCUAAAGUAAACUUCAUCUCAAAUAAUAUUUGCAUUUGUUUCUGGCAGAUUGUUGGAACAAAAGCAAUACCAGCUUACCUUAAUCCACUCAGGAACAGAGGUGAUUCAAAACUGAAUGUCAGUCCUUGUGAGGGCUGGACUACAUCAGUUUACCCUCAGUCCUUAGGUGGAGGUCUCGUCCUAAAAUUUGGAGAUUUGUAGGGCCCUCCCUCUCCUUGGAAGCCUCUACAUUCUAGUUUGCACCCUCCUAAGCUCACAGUGCUGUUGAAAGCUCAGUUUAGCUUCCCAGCCUCUGAAACUUCUCUUGUAGAAUUAGCUACUGUCUCUGCAGAAAAGUAGUCCAAAUAUCAGGCUUGCCUCUCUGGGUUUUCUUCUCUGUGCUUUUGUUUGGUAUUCAUUUCUUCCUUUGUAGCUCACCAAUAUUCUCAUAUUUUUAAAAACAUUGUUUAUCAAACUUUUCUAGUUGUUCUUGGCAGUAGAAUUGGUUCAGAUCAACCAGUUGACCAAGCUGAAUACAUUUUUUCAUAAUUCCU